rnacentral:rRNA from 1 species
CAGCUAGUUGGUGAGGUAACGGCUCACCAAGGCUUUGAUCGUUAGCUGGUCUGAGAGGAUGGCCAGCCACACUGGAACUGAGACACGGUCCAGACUCCUACGGGAGGCAGCAGUGGGGAAUCUUGCACAAUGGGCGAAAGCCUGAUGCAGCGACGCCGCGUGGGGGAUGAAGCUUUUCGGAGUGUAAACCCCUUUCGACCCGGACGAAUGCCUCGCAAGAGGACUGACGGUACGGGUAUAAGAAGCCCCGGCUAACUACGUGCCAGCAGCCGCGGUAAGACGUAGGGGGCCAGCGUUGCUCGGAAUUACUGGGUGUAAAGGGUUCGUAGGCGGUGUGGCAAGUUGGGAGUGAAAUCUCUGGGCUCAACCCAGAGGCUGCUUCCAAAACUGCUGUGCUUGAGUGUGGGAGAGGCGCGUGGAAUUGCAGGUGUAGCGGUGAAAUGCGUAGAUAUCUGCAGGAACACCCGUGGCGAAAGCGGCGCGCUGGACCACAACUGACGCUGAGGAACGAAAGCUAGGGGAGCAAACAGGAUUAGAUACCCUGGUAGUCCUAGCCCUAAACGAUCAGGACUUGGGGUGCUUCACGUUCGUGGAGCGUCCCGGAGCUAACGCGUUUAGUCCUGCACCUGGGGAGUACGGUCGCAA